GGGGUACUUAGAUAAACCAAUAGCAAAGGCGGGUAUUCAACCAUAGAGUGUGAAGACAACUCCGCUUCGGAACCGCGCGUAAGAUUACGAUCCUCCCGGGGCAAGCAAAAGACCUAAUGGUUUUCGACAUGAGGGGCUAUCCAAGGCUAAAGAGUCCAUCGGGCAGUUAAGUAAAGAAAGAAGAAGGAAUAGAGGUGCAUACAAUGAUUAAAAUUAGGGCUAAAGCCUACUGAGAGCUAGACCGAGGCAGGGCGAACCGCAGCCUGUCGUAGCUCAACAGACUGAGACAACUUCCUUCUUACGGGAAGGAGUAGGACCGAAGUUCAAUACAAAACCUUAGGGGACUUUCAGCCCUGAACAAGAACAAAAGAAAAGAGAGAGCUUAGCUGCAGAGACAGGCCCCAGGCAUCGCUUAGAUUAGAUACGUUCAAUAGGCGGCCCCCGGGGUAGGUCUUCCAAUCCCGCCGACACAACCUCGUCGUCACUUACUCCUCACUUUAAACAACUUCCCGAAUGAUCCAACCCAGUCUUUAAUUCCCGCACAAUCCGUAUUAGUUCUGCCCCAGGCUGUGCUAAUCCAAUAUCGAAUUGAGCCGAG
rnacentral:misc_RNA from 1 species